UACAGAGGGUGCAAGCGUUGUUCGGAAUUACUGGGCGUAAAGCGCGUGUAGGUGGCGAUGUAAGUCGGGUGUGAAAUCCCUCGGCUCAACCGAGGAAGUGCACUCGAUACUGUGUCGCUUGAGUGUUGGAGGGGAUGGCGGAAUUCCCGGUGUAGAGGUGAAAUUCGUAGAUAUCGGGAGGAACACCUGUGGCGAAGGCGGCCAUCUGGACAACUACUGACACUGAGACCCGAAAGCGUGGGUAGCAAACAGG
rnacentral:rRNA from 1 species